UGCGGCGUAGGGCAGAGGUCAGCCCGCCAGGCUCAUACCCUGUGAGGUCAGAGGUUCGAAUCCUCUCGCCGCAA
rnacentral:tRNA from 1 species